rnacentral:rRNA from 1 species
UACAGGGGGUGCAAACGUUGCUCGGAAUUAUUGGGCGUAAAGCGCGCGUAGGCGGCUAUUUAAGUCGGAUGUGAAAGCCCUUGGCUCAACUGAGGAAGUGCACCCGAAACUGAAUGGCUUGAGUACCAAAGAGGGUCGCGGAAUUCCCGGUGUAGAGGUGAAAUUCGUAGAUAUCGGGAGGAACACCGGUGGCGAAGGCGGCGACCUGGGUGGAUACUGACGCUGAGGCGCGAAAGCGUGGGGAGCAAACAGG